rnacentral:rRNA from 1 species
AUUGAACGCUGGCGGCAUGCUUUACACAUGCAAGUCGAACGGCAGCGCGGGCUUCGGCCUGGCGGCGAGUGGCGAACGGGUGAGUAAUACAUCGGAACGUGCCCAGUAGUGGGGGAUAGCUCGGCGAAAGCCGGAUUAAUACCGCAUACUACCUGAGGGUGAAAGCGGGGGAUCUUCGGACCUCGCGCUAUUGGAGCGGCCGAUGGCAGAUUAGCUAGUUGGUGGGGUAAAGGCCUACCAAGGCGACGAUCUGUAGCUGGUCUGAGAGGAGGACCAGCCACACUGGGACUGAGACACGGCCCAGACUCCUACGGGAGGCAGCAGUGGGGAAUUUUGGACAAUGGGCGAAAGCCUGAUCCAGCAAUGCCGCGUGUGUGAUGAAGGCCUUCGGGUUGUAAAGCACUUUUGGCGGGAACGAAAAGGACUGUGCCAAUACCACGGUUCGAUGACGGUACCCGCAGAAUAAGCACCGGCUAACUACGUG